AAGACCUCGCUCUUAAGGAUUUUUUUCCCUUCUUAUUGAACAUGUCAUUUUUCUUUCAUUUUUCAGGACAGUUGCUUGCAGCCUCUAGACGUCCCUGCUGCCUCAAAAUGGGCUCAAGGCGAGUCUCUCCACACUAUCAGCCCUCUCCUGCCAUAUUUUGAACUUUGGAGUGUGCACAAGGAUGGAAAAAUACAGAAGGAUGGAAAAAUACAAGGAGUGGUGGGACACGAUGCAAAGUGAGUCUGAGCUGCCCUUAACUUCAGCCUUUGCACCCUGCCAAUACACCUGGAAGAUGCAGCUCAUUCCACCAGGAAUGCUGAUAUUGCAAACACCUAUUUAAACACAGCAGUGGUGGAGGUAACCUCGCUUGCCUGGGCACAAGGUUUGAUCGUCUUUUAUGAAUACUGCACCGCUGUUUUAAGAAAAGACAAAUACAAGGAGGGGAAAAAACAGAACCUCUGCGAUUCUUCCCUACGAAGUAUUAUAGGUGAAGGCUGUGGAGAAUCGUGGGUUUCCCCAGUUCAGAGUUGAACCUCCCACCAAUUGUGUGACCUUCGGGCUAUGGGUAUUGAUGAAGGUAUACAGCCACAAUCUCAGAUUAUGUUGUACCUGCACCUUCACUUCUGCCAGUACUACUUGCUGCACUCAUCCAGCUGCAAAGAGACUCUACUGGAGGAAAGAUUGCACCCAAGGACCUCCAUCCAAUGCCAGGUGGGAGG
rnacentral:lncRNA from 1 species